rnacentral:rRNA from 1 species
GAUCCUGGCUCAGGAUGAACGCUGGCGGCGUGCCUAACACAUGCAAGUCGAGCGAUUUACUUCGGUAAAGAGCGGCGGACGGGUGAGUAACGCGUGGGUAACCUGCCCUAUACACACGGAUAACAUACCGAAAGGUAUGCUAAUACGAGAUAACAUAAGGAAUUCGCAUGGGUUUCUUAUCAAAGUUUUUGCGGUAUAGGAUGGACCCGCGUCUGAUUAGCUAGUUGGUAAGGUAACGGCUUACCAAGGCGACGA